AGAGUUUGAUCCUGGCUCAGGAUGAACGCUGGCGGCGUGCCUAAUACAUGCAAGUCGAACGGAGUAUGUAGCAAUAUGUACUUAGUGGCGAACGGGCGAGUAACGCGUUGGUGACCUGCCCCGAAGAGAGGGAUAACAGUUCGAAAGGAUUGCUAAUACCUCAUGUGGUCACAGGGAUUAGAGGCCUUGUGACUAAACGGAGUAUUUCGCUUUGGGAGGGACCUGCGUCCCAUCAGCUCGUUGGUAGGGUAACGGCCUACCAAGGCUAUGACGGGUAGGGGACCUGAGAGGGUGGCCCCCCACACUGGCACUGAAACACGGGCCAGACACCUACGGGUGGCAGCAGUAGGGAAUAUUGGUUAAUGUGCGAAAGCGCGAACCAGCAACGCCGCGUGUGCGAUGACGGCCUUCGGGUUGUAAAGCACUUUUAGAAGGGAUGAGGAAGGACAGUACCUUCUGAAUAAGCCUCGGCUAACUACGUGCCAGCAGCCGCGGUAAAACGUAGGAGGCGAGCGUUAUCCGGAUUUACUGGGCGUAAAGCGCGUGCAGGUGGUUUGGUAAGUUGGAUGUGAAAGCUCCUGGCUUAACUGGGAGAGGUCGUUCAAUACUACAGACUUGAGGAUGGGAGAGGGAGGUGGAAUUCCGGGUGUAGUGGUGAAAUGCGUAGAUAUCCGGAGGAACACCAGUGGCGAAAGCGGCCUCCUGGCCCAUAUCUGACACUCAGACGCGAAAGCUAGGGGAGCGAACGGGAUUAGAGACCCCGGUAGUCCUAGCUGUAAACGAUGUGAACUUGGCGUCGGCGGGUUUAAAUCCGUCGGUGCCGAAGCUAACGCGAUAAGUUCACCGCCUGGGGACUACGGCCGCAAGGUUAAAACUCAAAGGAAUUGACGGGGGCCCGCACAAGCGGCGGAGCGUGUGGUUUAAUUCGAUGCUAGACGAAGAACCUUACCAGGGCUUGACAUGCAAGUAGUAGGGAACCGAAAGGGGACCGACCCGCAAGGGAGCUUGCACAGGUGCUGCAUGGCUGUCGUCAGCUCGUGUCGUGAGAUGUUCGGUUAAGUCCGCUAACGAGCGCAACCCUCGCUGCGUGUUACAUGUGUCACGCGGGACUGCCGGUCUCAAGCUGGAGGAAGGUGGGGAUGACGUCAAGUCAGCAUGGCCUUUAUACCCUGGGCUACACACACGCUACAAUGGGCAGUACAAUAGGUUGCGAAACCGCGAGGUGGAGCCAAUCCUCAAAGCUGUCCUCAGUUCAGAUCGUAGGCUGCAACUCGCCUGCGUGAAGACGGAGUUGCUAGUAACCGCAGGUCAGCUAUACUGCGGUGAAUACGUUCCCGGGCCUUGUACACACCGCCCGUCACGUCAUGGGAGCUGGCAACACCUGAAGCCGGUAUCCUAACCGUAAGGAGGGAGCCGUCGAGGGUGGGGUUGGUGACUGGGACGAAGUCGUAACAAGGUA
rnacentral:rRNA from 1 species